AUGAAAAGUUGCAUUUAUCAUCUGUUUUCCGUGUUAUCUGCCUUACAACUGCAUAUCGGGUCUGCAAGCCGGCAUCUCCUGAAGUGUGCCAUGAUUGCGCCUCUGGACGCGUCUCCUGCCAGACAGCAGAGCUGGCAGAGCCUGCGCCUCACGCCGUGGCUGGAAGCCACUGUCCGGACAUCAUCAGGCCCUGGGGCGUCCCAGUCACCAUGCAAACCACAAAGGGAAUGCACGGGGCAGGCAGAGGCACAGGGAUUAAAACGAGCAGGUGUGUGUGCUUGGUCCUCGUCCAGAUUUUGGAGCAGUUUGGGCGCAGCGCCUGUGGUCUGGGGCUCCCGCCGUGGAGGGGAUAGCAAUCAGCAGGCAUGGGGCCCAGAGCAGCGUCCUUGGACCGACCUUGUCAGGGCGGCCUGGUCUAAGUGCUUCAUAUCUAAUGUCCGGGAUUUGGGAGAGAAGCAGCAGGUGAAAGGUCGCAUUUGGUGAGAGGCCACCCUCUACCAAGCACGAGACUCAAACACCCAACAGAAGAGACGCCGGUAGAGGCACCACUGCAGGGAGGAGGCAGAGGCCUGAGCAGGUGGUGGAGCGGGGCGCCCAGGGUCCCACGGCUGCCUGGUGCUGGCAGGUGUCCCGCCAGGGCCCAUGCCCCGUGGUGUCUGUGGCCUCUUCUCCCCGAGUGCUCCCGUGGGUGGGCGAGGGCCAGCCAACCACAUCCCCGUGGGGAUGAGGGUCUCAGCCUGGGAAUUCUGGGGGGCGCCAUCACACAGAGCACAGCAGGACGGACGGCCAGUGCUCUGUCCUCCGUCCACUGACUUGAGUGCUGUGCCCUCCAGGAGUCCCCGCACUCGGGGAAGCGACGUCGGCGCUCCCUGGACAUCCCUAAGACCGUUCACAUCAGCGCACGGAACUCGCCCUGGGGGUGCAGGGGCGAGGUUGCCUCUGCAUGAGACCUUCCCUGGGCAUUGGAGGAAGGGGCAGGGUGGACCCGUUAGAGCCUGGGGGAGACUCACGAUGAGGUCGGGACGCAUUCUACCUGCGGCUGGUCCCCACAUCCUCUCUGUCCGGUCCCGCUGGACAGUGACCUCCUCUGGUCCCUGCUGAGCCGAGGGAAGUUAAUGCUCCUUAUACAGUCUGUGUUGUGAGCCAAAAACCAUUUCUGAAACAGGUUUGCCGCUUCGUUACUGCUGGGCUCCCUCCCCCUCCAUUUUUCUCUGAUUUCUAUUUAUUUACUUGGGAAGCAGACAAAGGAAGAGAGUUCCCACCCACUGGCUCAUCCCCUAGCUGCCCACAGUGGCCAGGCUGACGUCAGGAGCUGGGAAUCCAGAACAGGUGUGCUGCAUGGGAGGCAGGCACUCAGCCAUCUGCCUCAUAGGGCCUGCAUGAGCAGGAGGCUGGAGGGGUCGAUCCCAGGCACACCGGUGUGGAACGUGGAAGCCUCCCCGGGCGUGUUAACCACUGGACUCCAUGUCUCUCCAGUCCUCUCCUUUGUUCUUUCUGCAUGUCCUGGUUAGCGAUCCUGACUUUCUAGAACUGUCAAUAAUAAACACGGAAUCGAUGUUGAGAGCA
rnacentral:lncRNA from 1 species